UGGGCACUGUGGCCACUUCAUGGCCACUGCGCUUGUACCUUCUUUUUUAUUUUUUUAUUUUUAAAAAGGAAUAUCGAUAAAUCACUAGUAGCAUCCCUUGCUACUAGUGAAAACAACAAAAAUAUAUUGCUUAGAAGGAGACAGCCUUCCCCCUUCCCUUGCAGGUGAAAGGGAGAUAGAAAGAGGGACAUUCCCUAUUUUGAAUGGUAAAGAACAGGGUGUAGCAUUAAUAUCUUCUCUCUCUUUUUAACCCUGCUCUUCACAAUAUUUUGCAAGUUAUCUAAAAUCUGCUUUUUCCUCCCAACACUGCAAAAGGGAAAAAAAAAAAAUGAAAGCCAAGAACUGAAAAGGGAGAAAUAUACAGGGGAAUAAGGAAAGGGGAGCAAUCAAAUAAUAUACAGCUCUCACUGGCCCUCAGCACACAUAUAUGAAGCUAUAUAUAUACCAUAUUAGAGGACCUGUCUCCCCAAAAGUUUAUGAAUGGUUAUGAAAUGUCAUCUCAAAAAACUGGAGCUAAAAAUGCAAGGAAAAACAAACGUGAUGACAUUAAUAAAAACGCUUUUUCAAUUUGGUGUUAAAUGCAAAAGACGUGAAACUAACCAAAAUGAAACUUUAAAUUCAGAACAAUGUGAGACAAGUGCAGAACUGAAACAAAGGUCAGAAUCUCAUGAGGCCAGUUUGGAUUUUCAAGAAACAUCAGAUCAAGUAAAUUCUCAGUUUAAGGAUUUAGAGAAACGAGUGUUAGUGAUGAGAGUACUUCACUGUCUACAGAUUGCGGCCAUGGAAGACAUAGUGAAGAGAACAGUAGGUUAAAU